CAACAGUCAUACAAACAUGACUAAGACAUGACCCCUGCUUUCAAGGUGGAGACUAAGUGUGAAGAGUUGUCUACACCAUGGCAUGGUGCCUGGGAUACGCUUAUCUACACCAGACUGCAGUUCUCCACAGCAGCAUCAGAAAGACAUCCUGCAGCAAAAGCUUGGCCCCUUAUUCACAGAGCUGAAUGCACACCGGAAAAGGAGUCCAGUAAAAGGUAGAGCAGCUUCAGGUCCCAUGGCUACCCCCAUGCAAAGGAGGUGAGGCCACAGAACCGAACUGGGGUCUGUUCGCCUGGCACAGCAAAGUCAAACACUAACAUUAGGAUGGCAGCGAGAGGAAGUGAAGCAUUUAUUUGCAAGCACCAAGCAAAGAGAGUUGGACAGUUGAUGCCUAAGAUCCCACCUGCCCGGUGGCUUGCAGAAUUUCAGGAUAGUCCAGGGAUCACCGAAAGAGAUCACCAAACUUUCUCUAUGAAGAACCAAAUACUACAAACUUCCGUCUUUGCCGGCCACGUGGUCUCUGACUCAACUGCUCAACUUUUCACUAACGUGAAAGUAGCCACGGACCAUAUGCAAAAAAAUGGGAGUGGCUGUGUUGCAAUAAAACUUUACUUGUAGAUGCUGAU
rnacentral:lncRNA from 1 species